rnacentral:lncRNA from 1 species
AGAGGAGAUGGAGAGGCAGGUACCCAUGGGUAGAUCGUGGGCAGGCAAGAAGCAGAGGCACCUGAGGGUCAGGAAGAGUGUGGAUCGUGGACAGAAAAGUGGGAGGAGCAUAGUGGGGACAGGGCUUCAGAAGGGCUGUCGAGGGAACAGGUUGAGGGACAAAGUGAUUGGACGAAGAGGAACCAAGGACUGUCCUAGAGUCAGGCUCCUGGAGCCCAGAGGAGGUCGGGGUGUGUCGGCCAGGAAGGAGCUCUGAACACAGCCUGACUGGUGAUGGAUAUGGGAUGUUCCCUGCUGAGUGAAUAGGGUGCAAGCAUGUGCUCACUCCAGCUAAGCAACAUGCAAGCACAAAAUGGCUGACAGUGGCUCUCCUUACAUCCCUGACUCAGUCGUACCCGUUCCUCACAUGGGAUUUGUCCAGGUCAGAGGUUCACAGUCUCCCUCGACUGGCUAAAAGGCUUGGGGGAUGGGUUAGGGCAUGCAGUUUGGCAGGCAAUGGAGUUGUACAGGAAUCCAGAAGAAGAGGCAAGGACCCUUUAAACAUGCAAUCACCUGAGAUGGCAACCUGAGGAAUUUUUAAGUAGUCUAAGAGGGUAACAAAUACUUUGAUAGAAAAGAUCGUUUUCUUAUAGCUAAGAGCCUGCGAAGGAGGGGUGGCCACAGGGUGGGGAAGCCCCAUGGGGAGCAGGCAGCCAGCCAGGUCAGGUUGGGUAGUCCACAUUUCCACAUGGGAGAUUUGGGCAAGGCCCUGUCCUACUCAGAGCCUCGUCCCACACCUGUCAAUUUCCUUCCUGUCUCCCUCCCAGGGAACAGAUGGGAAUCCCUUUGGAGUGCUCUAGAAUGACAAGGGGUCCCUGUUCUCUCAUUCCCUGUUCUCAGGGCCCUUUAAGAACAGUUCUCAGGAAUUGCAGAUGAAACCAGUCAGAGAUGUGAGCAGGACUCUAGGCAGAGUUUUGGGGAGGUGUGACCAUUGGUUAACCCAGUCUGAUCCGCAGAGAACGAGACUGGUAGUGUUGCAGGAGGGCUCAGACAGAGACUGAGAGAGCACCAAAACUUUUGGGAAGCAAGUUUAUUAAGCAGGCCAGCGGUGACUCAGUGGACUCGAGUCCAAAGGCUGAGCCCCGAGAACAAAGGGGGCUUUCCUUAUAUGCCAUUUAGAACAGGUUCCAGAAAUGGUGUGUGUGUGAGGUACAGCAUUCCAGAAAUGGUGUGUGUGUGGGGUACAGCUUGUCCAUACAUGAUCACAUGUUAUUUCAUUGGCUGUUUCAACCUCUGGGGCAAGGUGACUCUCCUCUGGUCUCCAGGU